UACGUAGGGGGCAAGCGUUGUCCGGAAUCAUUGGGCGUAAAGAGCGUGUAGGCGGCCCGAUAAGUCCGCCGUGAAAGUCCAGGGCUCAACCCUGGAAUGCCGGUGGAAACUGUCGGGCUGGAGUCCGGAAGAGGCGAGUGGAAUUCCUGGUGUAGCGGUGAAAUGCGCAGAUAUCAGGAGGAACACCAAUGGCGAAGGCAGCUCGCUGGGACGGUACUGACGCUGAGGAGCGAAAGCCAGGGGAGCAAACGGG
rnacentral:rRNA from 1 species